AACGGAAGCAGGGCAGGUACUAGAGAAGUAGACUCAAGUUUUAAAUAAAACAGAAAGAUUAUUCCAGUAAGCAAAGCAUUAUGUGAUUUCCAUAGGUUAGGGCAACAGGCAACAAGUGAUAGUCCAGGGACAAGCAAAUGAUUAGAAUGGGGCAGAAGGGCAAAGCAAAUACAUUUCUGCAUGCAAAAUACAGUUCCCAAACCAGGAGGUGGGAGAUGGCAUAGGAGGCAGGAGCAGAUGUCUGGAAGAAGAGAGCGAAUGGGGGAUGACUGGGGUUCCAUCCACCUAAGAGAAGGCUCGUGAAGAGAAGACUUGGAUCCUUUGGAGACCAGGACUUAGAUGAUGACGUCAGGAACUGAGGAGGAGACUGAAGAACUCACAAGCUCAGUGAUGAGAAUGGAGACCAAGAUAGGACUGCAGUGCUUCUCAGUGUACCUGGAGAGAGAUGAAAACUCCUCAGUCCAAAGUACAACUUGGAUCCAACCACAUGCAGGCAUUAACCGGCUGUUCCCUACUUAAGUUAGCCAUCACUUCUUCUGGGAUCUGAAGUACAGACAACAGCCAUCAAACAGUGUGAGGCCCUGAAGUACACCAUCGUCUCAUUAACAUGACAUUUAUCAGCUGGGCUAAGUGGCCAUGAAUAUGAAUGCAUCAGAGAGACUGACUGAGGAAGUUUCUGCUGUGCUGGU
rnacentral:lncRNA from 1 species